UACGGGGGGUGCAAGCGUUGCUCGGAAUUAUUGGGCGUAAAGGGUAGGUAGGUGGUCUCAUUUGUCUGGGGUGAAAGCCUUGAGCUUAACUCAAGAAGUGCCCCAGAAACGGUGAGACUAGAGUCCUGGAGAGGGUCGUGGAAUUCCCGGUGUAGCGGUGAAAUGCGUAGAGAUCGGGAGGAACACCAGAGGCGAAGGCGGCGACCUGGACAGGUACUGACACUCAACUACGAAAGCGUGGGGAGCAAACAGG
rnacentral:rRNA from 1 species